GGAAUAGGGUUUGCUGCGCUGGGACGAUAUGGAGUGAAGAAAGAAAAAUGUGCAUUGCAUGUCCAGUUGGGUUUAGUGGAAUAUACUGCAAAACACCAUGCCCCUAUCCAUUAUUCGGAGUAUCAUGUCAAAGGGAAUGUAAUUGUGAAAAAGAAAUGUGCAACGUAUUUGAUGGAUGUGUAUUGGAUAGAACUACAGACAACACCAGAAGUAUCAACUCAUCUUCUAGUUUUACUCAAAGCAAGAGAAACACAACCUAUACAUCAAUAACGACAAUGGAGAUAGAGAACAACGCAAAUAAAACAAUAAAUUGUAUUGUAUCGGCGAAAAUGUGUCUACACAAAUACAGCUCUCUUCAUAUACCUAUUCUGAUCUUUGGUGGAAUUGCUUUUGCAUUGAUUAUUACACACGUUCUUGUAUGCUUUAAA